GUGAGGAAUUUUGCACAAUGGGGGAAACCCUGAUGCAGCGACGCCGCGUGAGUGACGAAGGUCUUCGGAUCGUAAAGCUCUGUCAGCAGGGAAGAAAUGUAUCAUGGCUAAUAUCCAUGGUACUUGACGGUACCUGCAAAGGAAGCACCGGCUAACUCCGUGCCAGCAGCCGCGGUAAUACGGAGGGUGCGAGCGUUGUUCGGAUUUACUGGGCGUAAAGGGCGCGUAGGCGGUUUUAUAAGCCAGAUGUGAAAGCCCACGGCUCAACCGUGGAAGUGCAUCUGGAACUGUAAGACUUGAGUACUGGAGGGGAGUGUGGAAUUCCCGGUGUAGAGGUGAAAUUCGUAGAUAUCGGGAGGAAUACCGGUGGCGAAGGCGACACUCUGGACAGAUACUGACGCUGAGGCGCGAAAGCGUGGGGAGCAAACAGGAUUAGAAACCCCGGUAGUCC
rnacentral:rRNA from 1 species